CUGCUGGAUUGCAAUGUGAUCAAGAUAAGUCUGUAACAACAUGCAAUGACGUCCUUGACAUUUGGUUUUGGCUCGUUUGAGGCAGCACAUGCGGCAAAUGCAAUAAAGCUGAAGCGAUUAUGUUUCAAGUCAGCCAGGUCGAUUUCUGCAGUUCCAGCAAUGACAAGCUCCAGUUCACGGGCAUCAAACACAGAGACCAGCCGCACGUCCACAACCUGCACAGCCACGAAAUGUGAUUAAUUUCACAUGUGGCAGCAUGAUAUCAACACUAGUGUCAUAUUCGAAGGUGAUGUUCUACCUCAUAGAAGCCUCGCACCAGGCUCUCCGUCUGCUGAGCCACACCUCUCUCAAUGCGCCACUUCACCAUGCG